CUACGGGUGGCUCCAGUGAGGAAUAUUGCACAAUGGGGGGAACCCUGAUGCAGCAACGCCGCGUGGAGGAUGACGCAUUUCGGUGUGUAAACUCCUUUUAUAUGUCAAGAAAAUGACGGUAGCAUAUGAAUAAGCACCGGCUAACUCCGUGCCAGCAGCCGCGGUAAUACGGAGGGUGCAAGCGUUACUCGGAAUCACUGGGCGUAAAGGACGCGUAGGCGGGUUGGAAAGUCAGGUGUGAAAUCCUACAGCUUAACUGUAGAACUGCACUUGAAACUUAUAAUCUAGAGUAUGGGAAGGGGUGAUGGAAUUAGUGGUGUAGGGGUAAAAUCCGUAGAUAUCACUAGGAAUACCUAAAGCGAAGGCGAUCUCCUGGAACAUUACUGACGCUAAGGCGUGAAAGCGUGGGGAGCAAACAGGAUUAGAUACCCGAGUAGUC
rnacentral:rRNA from 1 species